GAUGAACGCUAGCGGCAGGCUUAACACAUGCAAGUCGAGGGGCAGCACGUCUUCGGAUGGUGGCGACCGGCGCACGGGUGCGUAACGCGUAUGCAAUCUACCUUUUACAGAGGGAUAGCCCAGAGAAAUUUGGAUUAAUACCUCAUAGUAUAUAGACUUGGCAUCAAGAUUAUAUUAAAGAUUUAUCGGUAAGAGAUGAGCAUGCGUUCUAUUAGUUAGAUGGAGUGGUAACGGCACCCCAUGGCUACGAUAGAUAGGGGCCCUGAGAGGGGGAUCCCCCACACUGGUACUGAGACACGGACCAGACUCCUACGGGAGGCAGCAGUGAGGAAUAUUGGACAAUGGGCGAGAGCCUGAUCCAGCCAUGCCGCGUGCAGGAAGACUGCCCUAUGGGUUGUAAACUGCUUUUAUACGGGAAGAAACACCC
rnacentral:rRNA from 1 species